rnacentral:sRNA from 1 species
UUUGAGAGUUUAAAAUAUUUAUAACUGCUCAACACAUCUCCAUGUUCUGCUUGUGUUCAUUGUGCAGGGGAAAUGCCGGGAGUACAGACGACGUCACCGUAUAUCUUCUUUUCGGCCAGUGGAGGAUAUCACCGAAGAGGACUUAGAAAAUGUUGCCAUAACUGUUCGAGAUAAAAUCUAUGAUAAAGUUCUGGGUAACACGUGCCAUCAGUGUCGACAAAAGACCAUCGACACCAAGACAGUGUGUCGGAACCAGGGUUGCUGUGGUGUGCGAGGACAGUUCUGUGGACCAUGCCUGCGGAACCGCUAUGGGGAGGAUGUCAGAUCGGCAUUGCUGGACCCGGAUUGGGUGUGUCCCCCCUGUCGUGGGAUCUGCAAUUGCAGCUACUGUCGGAAGCGUGACGGCCGCUGUGCCACAGGAAUCCUCAUUCAUCUGGCCAAGUUUUAUGGUUAUGACAAUGUUAAGGAAUAUCUGGAGAGCUUACAAAAGGAGCUGGUAGAAGACAAUUAAGAGGAUUAAGAGGAAAACAGAACCAGCCACCUCACCAUAGAGUACUCCACCAAGACAUGCAUACCAUUGGUGCCUAAGAUUUUUUUACAGUUGUGUUUGUUUUUAUACAGAAAUUCUUUGUAGAAAUUACUAUUUUUUGUUAAAGAUUGUUUAUAUGCUUACAGAGAUUUCUCAGGAAGACAGCAGAGCAGAGGAAUCUAUAUAGAUGUAUGCACAGACCUGUUUGUUUGUAUGCUGAACUUUGUUAAAAAUAUCUGCCAGUUAUUAAAAAGCACAGUUUAAAUGGGGUGGGGUUAAAGUUCAGGUAAGUAAGUUAGAGAGAAAACAUUGUAUGAUCAGCUCCUGCCUUGAUCCAUCUUUGGCUUCCCAAACAGUAACUAACUCCAGGCCAAGUUUGCCUUAGCACGAGUGACCACACACAUCGUUUAACCUGCUCUUGGUCAUUGGAAAUUUACACUGAACAAAGUGCAAUUAACUGUAGAACAGUUUUAUUUUUAUUAAAACUUGACUGAACAAAAGGGGACCAUCAACAUUGUAGACACUGGAGGCCUUACAGAGUGCUAGCCUCUUCCUUCAGGACUCACCUGGGGCCUGCUGCUUUUAUAUUUAUAUUUUUAAGGGCUAAUAAUUUAAUUUGUUGUUUGUUAAAAAUUAAAAUCUCCGUUCUUUCCGGCUGCAUUGCUUUUGCAUGUUCACAUAUGAUGUACUUUUUUUUGAGGUGGAGUCUUGCUCUGUUGCCCAGGCUGGAGUGCAGUGGUGCAACCUCUGCCUCCUGGGUUCAAGUGAUUCUCCUACCUCCUGAGUAACUGGGAUUACAGUCGUGUGCCACCACGCUCAGCCCUGAGUAAGUUUCUAGUAUUUUUUUCUGACUUUCACUCUAAGGAUAGCAUUGAAAAAAGAAUGCACGUGUGAGUUACUAAAAAGUUAUAAUAGAAUAAUGUGCAUGGGAACAGUGCAGCAACAUGCUAGAAAAUUCUCACUGCACUCCAGCAGAGGCUAGAGGAAUGCCAGUGUUACCUUACGCUUCUAGAAGCAGAGCCACUCCAGCCAGAACCCAUUUUGCAGUCUUCUCUUUGCUCUUCAGCCUGAAGGUCCAGAUGUAGCUGGGGCCUCUCAGUUUGGUUCUAUACACAGGGCACUCGUAGGUCUGUUUGGUUUCCUGUCUGUCCACGGGGGUGGCUUUUGCAAAGAUGACCGGCAUAGGGCAUGCCAGCUCCUUGAGACGGGCUUCAACAAUGGUUCCUGCUUGGGUGUCCCAGUGGGCGCCUAUGGCAAAAACACAACGGUUGCAAUUGUGUGGCAGGUUGCUACUAAUGAUCAAGUUGUUUGAUGCAAUAAACAUUCAACAUUCUGCUUUUGUCA